rnacentral:rRNA from 1 species
AACGAACGCUGGCGGCAGGCCUAACACAUGCAAGUCGAGCGAGAUCUUCGGGUCUAGCGGCGGACGGGUGGGUAACGCGUGGGAAUAUGCCUCUUGGUACGGAAUAGCCUCGGGAAACUGGGAGUAAUACCGUAUGUGCCCUUUGGGGGAAAGAUUUAUCGCCAAGAGAUUAGCCCGCGUUGGAUUAGGUAGUUGGUGGGGUAAUGGCCUACCAAGCCGACGAUCCAUAGCUGGUUUGAGAGGAUGAUCAGCCACACUGGGACUGAGACACGGCCCAGACUCCUACGGGAGGCAGCAGUGGGGAAUCUUAGACAAUGGGGGUAACCCUGAUCUAGCCAUGCCGCGUGAGUGAUGAAGGCCUUAGGGUUGUAAAGCUCUUUCAGCUGGGAAGAUAAUGACGGUACCAGCAGAAGAAGCCCCGGCUAACUCCGUG